rnacentral:tRNA from 30 species
AGGCGGUUAGCUCAGAUGGUUAGAGCGCCACGUUGACAUCGUGGAGGUCGUUGGUUCGAUUCCAAUACCGCCUACCA